rnacentral:rRNA from 1 species
UACUGGCAAGCUUGAGCCUCGUAGAGGGGGGUAGAAUUCCAGGUGUAGCGGUGAAAUGCGUAGAGAUCUGGAGGAAUACCGGUGGCGAAGGCGGCCCCCUGGACGAGACUGACGCUCAGGUGCGAAAGCGUGGGGAGCAAACAGGAUUAGAUACCCUGGUAGUCCACGCCGUAAACGAUGUCGACUUGGAGGUUGUGCCCUUGAGGCGUGGCUUCCGGAGCUAACGAGUUAAGUCGACCGCCUGGGGAGUACGGCCGCAAGGUUAAAACUCAAAUGAAUUGACGGGGGCCCGCACAAGCGGUGGAGCAUGUGGUUUAAUUCGAUGCAACGCGAAGAACCUUACCUGGUCUUGACAUCCACGGAAGUUUUCAGAGAUGAGAAUGUGCCUUCGGGAACCGUGAGACAGGUGCUGCAUGGCUGUCGUCAGCUCGUGUUGUGAAAUGUUGGGUUAAGUCCCGCAACGAGCGCAACCCUUAUCCUUUGUUGCCAGCGGUCCGGCCGGGAACUCAAAGGAGACUGCCAGUGAUAAACUGGAGGAAGGUGGGGAUGACGUCAAGUCAUCAUGGCCCUUACGACCAGGGCUACACACGUGCUACAAUGGCGCAUACAAAGAGAAGCGACCUCGCGAGAGCAAGCGGACCUCAUAAAGUGCGUCGUAGUCCGGAUUGGAGUCUGCAACUCGACUCCAUGAAGUCGGAAUCGCUAGUAAUCGUGGAUCAGAAUGCCACGGUGAAUACGUUCCCGGGCCUUGUACACACCGCCCGUCACACCAUGGGAGUGGGUUGCAAAAGAAGUAGGUAGCUUAACCUUCGGGAGGGCGCUUACCACUUUGUGAUUCAUGACUGGGGUGAAGUCGUAACAAGGUAACCAGGGCG